rnacentral:lncRNA from 1 species
GGAGUCCCAGGAGGAAUGAAUUUCAACCCAGCAGUCUCAGAUUUGGGCUUCCAGCUUGCAAAUUACAGAGGCCAAGUUUGCUGAAAAGGAACAGCAGCAUGUGACCUUCUGAAAUCGCUAAUUGUAGUACUGCAGAACCUAAGCCUGAAAAAUGUGCAAGUCCUGGAGCUGCAUAUUCCGAAGUCCUGCCUGUCGUUGUUUGUUUGGCUGCGUGACAACGUUGCUAUCAACAGAUGGAAUGAAGCAUGAGGUAAUGACUGCAGCUUAAAUGAGAGCACUUGUCAUACCUGCUUUUUGCUUGGACUGAUCAGCAAGUGUCCGGGCAUAGUCAAAUGCAGCGUGUGUUUUCUUUCAUGUUUACAAACUGGCAAGCUUAAUGGAAGAUAAUUCUUGACAUUUCUUAACAGUUUUCCUCAUCCCUAAAUCAAAUCUAUUAAUGUUGUGUUGAACUACUCAGGAGCUACUAGGUGCUGUGAAU